ACAACCCUGCUUUGUACGUGUUUACCGCAUAAAGUUUUGAGCUAACAGGGAUACAAAGGGAACCUGGCUUUACGAUCGGCGUAUAAGCCCUCCAGGUAGGGGACAUACAAACAUCGUAGGAGGGUACCCACUUUGAGAGGGACAAGUUCAAAACGAUCGGUUCACGGCACGGCGGGGUUUUU
rnacentral:other from 1 species